CUUAUUUUCAUCUUCAGCAGAAUGUCUUGAAUGUCUUGCAUUUGAAGUGCCUUGUUUGAUGAUCAGAGUGUUUAGCAUCAUUUAUUAUACUCCAUCUGUGGACCCCACCAUGCCACACUACACCACACUGGCUCAUCAGAACAUUGGGCCAUCAAAAAGGGUUUUGCAUUCCAAUAUCCACCCUCCUUAGUGCUGCUCUAGUUGGUGAGACAGUGAAAGGCUGACACUUCUUCAAUUGUAUACCAUGGAGCUAAGAGCGGCUUCAAGGCUUGUUGUCUUGGCUGUAUUUGCUACAUCGGCCAUGAAUUUAACCAAAGGUGCUAGUUUGUGGAUGGCCUUGAGCUGUGACAAGCUGUGAAUGGAGGACAAAAACGUUGACUAAACUAAAGGUUAGGUUGCUUCAUACCUUCACAACAUGACACAAGAAAUCCUGGACAAGAGAAUGAACAUUUGGGAAUAGUAUUGUCUUCGACAUUGUUUUACUGUACCUGAGGGCUUUGUGCUGCGAAAAGCUGUUGGUUUUCCACAUAAAAGGAGCUAAUUUGUGCAGACAAUGGUACUUUCUAUCUUGCCUGGUUUUUGUUUUCUGUUUUCUGCAGUUGCAUCUAUUCCUGCCAUGAACUAUAGGAUGUGAUGCCUUUUAUGAUGCUACUUCUUCAAUUGGAUUUUUUCAUGGUUAGGAGACUUCCAACAUGUCAUUCUUGCUUGAAUUAACUCUAACCUGCUAUCUCUAAAAUUUUUUAUUUAACAAUUACAAGGAUUCAAAAAGUCUUUUUUUUUUUUUCAUUAAAGUGGUAAACCAAAAAUUUCUGAAAAUUUCUUUUCUCAGCUAUUAGUUUCUCUGCAAUUGGGAAAAGGUAGCAGCACCUUUUCUAGCCACCUUUUCCCAUUUCUAUCUUGUUUUGCAAUUGAGAGAGACGGAAUUUUUCAAGAUCGUUCAAAUGGUUCAACAAAAAACUUACAUUCUAACAGCUAUUUUUGUUACAUAUUGCUAUCCAUCAAGAGUUGUCUAUUGAGAAUUUAUAACUUCAAAAAGGACGUUAUGAAGCAGAACUUGAUUCUCACUUGAGCUCAUUAAGGGAGAGGCUUGCUGCAGUAUAUAUCUGUCAUUCGUUCCUCUUUCUUUGGUUUACUUAACUCUGAUUCUCUAGAGACAAUUACAAAUUUUCUAGGUUGGGAAGGAAUCUUCAGAGCUUCAUAGAGAGAUCCAAGCUCUGGAAAAGCAUGCCUCCUGUAACAACAGUUAUGACGCAUCCAUUGUUGACACACUGUGGUUGUAUGAGCAGAACUCGAUGCAUGAGUUGUUUCAAGUUUUCAUCAAAGCAUGUCAAUGUCUUCAAGAUAAUGUUGAAACCAUUCUUUCAUUUGAAGAAUCAACGAGCGAUUCAAUCCUGCUCAUGAUUUUCUGCGUCAUUCCAAAUUCAAAUGUAACAAUUUCACUACUAAGAGAUCUGCCACCAAGGCAUUUUAACUAUGGAAGAUUAGUGUAUGUACUUCUACCGAAGAUGGAAUUCUUUCUUUUCUACUUUAGCCUUUGAUAAUCUUAGGGACCUUGACUUUUAAUAACCUAAUAACCUAUCUCAAUUAUUUCAUCUUCAUUUCUUCUUUCAUCCAGUUCAAGUCUGAUAAAGAGGAACCUCAAAAUCUUUUGGUUCAAAAGUUAUAUGCAAACUAAUCAUAAUUCCUUUUCAUGCACAUUAGUUACCGACAAAAUUAGUAGUUACUUAAGCCACCUAAAUAAUAGUUUUUAAGUCAAACUAUUGUCAUUUUUUACAUUGCGCAAGCCCUCUUGUUUGGGGAUAACCAUGGUAAUAAGUAAUUUCAUAUAUUGGAUGCUGCUGUCACCUAUAAAUUAUAUCUGAUCUGACUUGCCAUCUAUACUUAUUUUCAGCUCUUUCUGCAAGCCUUGAUGAUAUUCUACGAAUACUAACUGUCUUGAAGAAACACAUAGUAGUUAACUUUUGUAAAUCUAUGCUUUAUUUGAAGGAUGGGUGCUGCUUGAAAGCAAGUCUUGACUCACCAAGAUGACAAGUGGUUUUCAAAUCCUAGCCGCCACCUCUUUGUUUCUUCCGAUAUAGUCUCUCGUUUGGACCAAGAAAGAGGGAGAGAUCUUACCUCUUUUCUUUUCUCUUUUUCUUUUUGGUGUGUGAUGCCGGCGGCGAGGACGGAGAUAGGCCUCUUCGUCAAGGUUGUAUUGUUGUGAGGAUAUUCUGCGGAAACCUGAUUUUGGGAUGCUUGUAGUUUUUGGUGUUAGCUAGCCAGAUCAGGAGUAGGGUUGGGUGGUGGACAGCUUAGCGGGGUCAUUGAGCAAGUUGCCUUCUAGAUCUUUAUCAAGUUAAUAAACUUUCUUUGUUGUGAACUUAGAACUUCUGUCUUAUGUUUAAUAUCUUGUGAGACACUUUUAUUUGCUUUCGUCAUAUUUCGGGUAUUGUGCCUCUAUGUUGUUUUUGAUAGUUAAUGUCUUUGUUAAAGGUUGUUUGAUUUAGUGUGAGACAGGUUUUGAGAC